UCCCUGGUAGUAUAUCGGUUAGUACACGCGCCUGUCACUUCUGGGUUGUACAGACCGGUUUAGACCGCGCGAAAGCGGGGUUCGACUCCCCGCCAGGGAG